rnacentral:rRNA from 1 species
UACGAAGGGGGGCUAGCGUUGUUCGGAAUUACUGGGCGUAAAGCGCACGUAGGCGGAUUGUUAAGUUAGGGGUGAAAUCCCAGGGCUCAACCCUGGAACUGCCUUUAAUACUGGCAAUCUCGAGUCCGAGAGAGGUGAGUGGAAUUCCGAGUGUAGAGGUGAAAUUCGUAGAUAUUCGGAGGAACACCAGUGGCGAAGGCGGCUCACUGGCUCGGUACUGACGCUGAGGUGCGAAAGCGUGGGGAGCAAAGCAGGGAUUAAGAUACCCCUGG